CCUACGGGAGGCAGCAGUGGGGAAUAUUGCACAAUGGGGGAAACCCUGAUGCAGCGACGCCGCGUGAGUGAAGAAGUAUUUCGGUAUUGUAAGCUCUAUCAGCAGGGAAGAAGCAAGACGGUACCUGACUAAGAAGCCUCUGCUAACUACGUGCCAGCAGCCGCGGUAAUAGGUAGGGGGCAAGCGUUAUCCGGAUUUACUGGGUGUAAAGGGAGCGUAGACGGUAUGGCAAGUCUGAAGUGAAAGCCCAGGGCUUAACCCUGGGACUGCUUUGGAAACUGGUAGACUAGAGUGCUGGAGAGGUGGGCGGAAUUCGUAGUGUAGCGGUGAAAUGCGUAGAUAUUAGGAGGAACACCAGUGGCGAAGGCAGCCUGCUGGACUGUAACUGACGUUGAGGCUCGAAAGCGUGGGGAGCAAACAGGAUUAGAUACCCCAGUAGUC
rnacentral:rRNA from 1 species